AUUGAACGCUGGCGGCAGGCCUAACACAUGCAAGUCGAACGGUAGCACAGAGAGCUUGCUCUCGGGUGACGAGUGGCGGACGGGUGAGUAACGUCUGGGAAACUGCCCGAUGGAGGGGGAUAACUACUGGAAACGGUAGCUAAUACCGCAUAACGUCGCAAGACCAAAGUGGGGGACCUUCGGGCCUCACACCAUCGGAUGUGCCCAGAUGGGAUUAGCUAGUAGGUGGGGUAAUGGCUCACCUAGGCGACGGUCCCUAGCUGGUCUGAGAGGAUGACCAGCCACACUGGAACUGAGACACGGUCCAGACUCCGACGGGAGGCAGCAGUGGGGAAUAUUGCACAAUGGGCGCAAGCCCGAUGCAGCCAUGCCGCGUGUAUGAAGAAGGCCUUCGGGUUGUAAAGUACUUUCAGCGGGGAGGAAGGCAGUGAAGUUAACAGCUUCACCGAUUGACGUUACCCGCAGAAGAAGCACCGGCUAACUCCGUGCCAGCCGCCGCCGUAA
rnacentral:rRNA from 1 species